UGCAACCUGAGCUCAGGCGUG
rnacentral:rRNA from 1 species